rnacentral:tRNA from 1 species
GCCCCUGUGGUGAAAUUGGUAGACGCGCCGGAUUCAAAAUCCGGUCCCGAGAGGGGUGUCGGUUCGAGCCCGACCGGGGGCA